rnacentral:misc_RNA from 1 species
UAACUACCACUGACCCAAGUAAGAAUUUAUAUUUCCUACAAGGGAGUUCUGUAUACAACUAGAUAACAGUCUUCGUAAUUGAUUUAUGAGCAUUAACAGGCUAAUGAUUUUGACUGGAAAAAGUAUUCAUCUAGCAGAAAAACCUUUAUACAUCUAACUGAAGGGCAGUGGGGAAAAUCUGACCACUAGUGGCCUGCCAUUUAUGUGGGGAAAACUCCUUGUUGAAUUGAUCCACGGAGGUGGUGGCUUUUGUCUACCAAGUAAUAACAUUUUUAGAGAAUUGAGAACGUGAUUGCUAUCUGGGUAUUUUUCCGCAAGAUAUUUGCAAGCAGAGAAUGUUUUCAGUGUGCAUUUAGUUAUUGAUUACUAGUAUUACUUGCUGCCUAUAGAAUCACUAAUAUUGUUUCCCUGUUGCAGGUCAUGGUUCUUGUAAAUUUCCUG